rnacentral:rRNA from 1 species
CAGCAGUGAGGAAUAUUGGUCAAUGGGCGAGAGCCUGAACCAGCCAUCCCGCGUGCAGGAUGACGGCCCUACGGGUUGUAGACUGCUUUUCUGCAAGAAGAAUGGUCAUUACGAGUAGUGAUUUGACGGUAUUGCAGGAAUAAGCAUCGGCUAACUCCGUG